rnacentral:rRNA from 1 species
UACGUAGGGUGCAAGCGUUAAUCGGAAUUACUGGGCGUAAAGCGUGCGCAGGCGGUUCUAUAAGACAGAUGUGAAAUCCCCGGGCUCAACCUGGGACCUGCAUUUGUGACUGUAGAGCUGGAGUGCGGCAGAGGGGGAUGGAAUUCCGCGUGUAGCAGUGAAAUGCGUAGAUAUGCGGAGGAACACCGAUGGCGAAGGCAAUCCCCUGGGCCUGCACUGACGCUCAUGCACGAAAGCGUGGGGAGCAAACAGG